GGGAAGGUGGCUCAGUGGUAGAGCGCUUGCCUUGCAUGCAUGAGGACCUAGGGGUCGAUUCCUCAGCAUCACA
rfam:Dipodomys ordii contig_12507, whole genome shotgun sequence.